rnacentral:rRNA from 1 species
GACGAACGCUGGCGGCGUGCUUAACACAUGCAAGUCGAACGAUGAAGCCGGAGCUUGCUCUGGUGAAUUAGUGGCGAACGGGUGAGUAACACGUGAGUAACCUGCCCUUGACUCUGGGAUAACUGCGGGAAACUGUAGCUAAUACCGGAUACGACCCUCGGAGGCAUCUCCUGGGGGUGGAAAGAAUUUCGGUCAAGGAUGGACUCGCGGCCUAUCAGCUAGUUGGUGAGGUAAAGGCUCACCAAGGCGACGACGGGUAGCCGGCCGGAGAGGGUGACCGGCCACACUGGGGCUGAGACACGGCCCAGACUCCUACGGGAGGCAGCAGUAGGGAAUAUUGCACAAUGGGCGCAAGCCUGAUGCAGCAACGCCGCGUGAGGGAUGACGGCCUUCGGGUUGUAAACCUCUUUUAGCAGGGAAGAAGCGAAAGUGACGGUACCCGCAGAAAAAGCACCGGCUAACUACGUGCCAGCCGCCGCCGUAA